ACAUCCACGAUGUUCCACUUCCAUGAUUGCUCCGGUACCGCCAGAAAUUCUGCUGGAUGCUUGUAUUUUU